CAUUAAAAUUUAUAAAGCUGUUAUUAUACAGAGUUUUUUUUUAAUACAGACUGUUCUACUUAUUAAUAAUCUAAUAGGGUUUGGGAGAUUAAACCCAGUAUUAGAAAACUAGUCAGCCAAUUAAUAGCUGUUUAGGAAUUCACAAUAUCCUUGGCCUUUACCCACUAGAUGACAGUAGCACUAACUCCCAUACCCCACCCUGUUGUGAUAACCGUAAAUACGUCCAUCUGUUCCCAAAUGUCCUCAGGAUAUGGGGCAAAAUCACCCCGGUUGAGAAUCAGUUAUAAAGGAUAAGAUCUUGGCAAACCACUUGAUUUUCCCAAACAGGCUGCUAUAGUGUUGGAAAUUUCUAGUCUGAAAUUUGUUCCUUCUGUUAAAAUGCAAACAUUCCUGAGAGGAGAAUUUCUUUACACAAAAACUGAAACUUUAGUUUUCAGUUAAAAGCUAACAUGUUAUUAAUAUAUAACUAUAUGUAUAUAUAGGUUAUUAAUAUAUACUUAUAAUACUGUUCUACUUAUGACAAGAUCCUUCAGGAAGAAGACCCUGGCGAAAAUUACC
rnacentral:lncRNA from 1 species